AGAGUUUGAUCCUGGCUCAGGACGAACGCUGGCGGCGUGCCUAACACAUGCAAGUCGAACGGAACUGUUUUGAAAGAUUUCUUCGGAAUGAAUUUGAUUUAGUUUAGUGGCGGACGGGUGAGUAACGCGUGAGUAACCUGCCUUCAAGAGGGGGAUAACAUUCUGAAAAGGAUGCUAAUACCGCAUGACAUAUCGGAACCACAUGGUUUUGAUAUCAAAGAUUUUAUCGCUUGAAGAUGGACUCGCGUCCGAUUAGUUAGUUGGUGAGGUAACGGCUCACCAAGACCGCGAUCGGUAGCCGGACUGAGAGGUUGAACGGCCACAUUGGGACUGAGACACGGCCCAGACUCCUACGGGAGGCAGCAGUGGGGGAUAUUGCGCAAUGGGGGCAACCCUGACGCAGCAACGCCGCGUGAAGGAUGAAGGUUUUCGGAUUGUAAACUUCUUUUAUUAAGGACGAAAAAUGACGGUACUUAAUGAAUAAGCUCCGGCUAACUACGUGCCAGCAGCCGCGGUAAUACGUAGGGAGCAAGCGUUGUCCGGAUUUACUGGGUGUAAAGGGUGCGUAGGCGGCUUUGCAAGUCAGAUGUGAAAUCUAUGGGCUCAACCCAUAAACUGCAUUUGAAACUGUAGAGCUUGAGUGAAGUAGAGGCAGGCGGAAUUCCCUGUGUAGCGGUGAAAUGCGUAGAGAUUGGGAGGAACACCAGUGGCGAAGGCGGCCUGCUGGGCUUUAACUGACGCUGAGGCACGAAAGCGUGGGUAGCAAACAGGAUUAGAUACCCUGGUAGUCCACGCUGUAAACG
rnacentral:rRNA from 1 species